CGCAAGCCUGACGGAGCAAGACCGCGUGGGGGAGGAAGGCUCUUGGGUUGUAAACCCCUUUUCUCAGGGAAGAACAAAUGAUGGUACCUGAGGAAUCAGCCUCGGCUAACUCCGUGCCAGCAGCCGCGGUAAUACGGAGGAGGCAAGCGUUAUCCGGAUUUAUUGGGCGUAAAGCGUUCGCAGGUGGUUCUUCAAGUCUGCUGUCAAAGCACGGGGCUUAACUCCGUAAAGGCAGUGGAAACUGAAUAGUUAGAGUGCCGUAGGGGUAGAGGGAAUUCCCGGUGUAGCGGUGAAAUGCGUAGAGAUCGGGAAGAACAUCGGUGGCGAAAGCGCUCUACUGGACGGCAACUGACACUCAGGGACGAAAGCUAGGGGAGCG
rnacentral:rRNA from 1 species